UGAGGAAUAUUGGUCAAUGGGCGCAAGCCUGAACCAGCCAUGCCGCGUGCAGGAUGACGGCGCUAUGCGUUGUAAACUGCUUUUGUACAGGAAGAAACCCAUUUACGUGUAAGUGGUUGACGGUACUGUCAGAAUAAGCAUCGGCUAACUCCGUGCCAGCAGCCGCGGUAAUACGGAGGAUGCAAGCGUUAUCCGGAUUCAUUGGGUUUAAAGGGUGCGUAGGCGGAAUACUAAGUCAGUAGUGAAAUCCUGCAGCUUAACUGUAGAACUGUUAUUGAUACUGGUAUUCUUGAAUGCAGUUGAGGUAGGCGGAAUGUGUAAUGUAGCGGUGAAAUGCUUAGAUAUUACACAGAACACCGAUUGCGAAGGCAGCUUACUAAACUGUGAUUGACGCUGAGGCACGAAAGCGUGGGGAGCAAACA
rnacentral:rRNA from 1 species